rnacentral:rRNA from 1 species
GAUGAACGCUGGCGGCGUGCCUAAUACAUGCAAGUCGAGCGAACGGACGAGAAGCUUGCUUCUCUGAUGUUAGCGGCGGACGGGUGAGUAACACGUGGAUAACCUACCUAUAAGACUGGGAUAACUUCGGGAAACCGUAGCUAAUACCGGAUAAUAUUUUGAACCGCAUGGUUCAAAAGUGAAAGACGGUCUUGCUGUCACUUAUAGAUGGAUCCGCGCUGCAUUAGCUAGUUGGUAAGGUAACGGCUUACCAAGGCAACGAUGCAUAGCCGACGUGAGAGGGUGAUCGGCCACACUGGAACUGAGACACGGUCCAGACGCCUACGGGAGGCAGCAGUAGGGAAUCUUCCGCAAUGGGCGAAAGCCUGACGGAGCAACGCCGCGUGAGUGAUGAAGGUCUUCGGAUCGUAAAACUCUGUUAUUAGGGAAGAACAUAUGUGUAAGUAACUGUGCACAUCUUGACGGUACCUAAUCAGAAAGCCACGGCUAACUACGUG